CGCCGCCGCCGCGCGGCUGUUGCGUUCGCCCGUCUGGAUCAGGCGUUUCGACAGGCUGAUGGCGGUGCUGCUGUUCGGCUCCGCGUGGUGGGGG
rnacentral:tRNA from 1 species